UGGGGAAUCUUGCGCAAUGGGCGAAAGCCUGACGCAGCAACGCCGCGUGAGGGAAGAAGGCUUUCGGGUUGUAAACCUCUUUCAGGAGGGACGAAGCUUCCGGGGUUAAUAGCCUACGGGGUGACGGUACCUCCAGAAGAAGCCCCGGCUAACUACGUGCCAGCAGCCGCGGUAAUACGAAGGGUGCAAACGUUGCUCGGAAUUAUUGGGCGUAAAGCGCAUGUAGGCGGCCUGACAAGUCGGAUGUGAAAUCCCUCGGCUUAACCAAGGAAGUGCAUUCGAAACUGUCAGGCUUGAGUACCAAAGAGGAUCGUAGAAUUCCCGGUGUAGAGGUGAAAUUCGUAGAUAUCGGGAGGAAUACCGGUGGCGAAGGCGGCGAUCUGGGUGGAUACUGACGCUGAGAUGCGAAAGCGUGGGGAGCAAACAGGAUUAGAUACCCGCGUAGUCCCUGAGCGGGCUGGCAAGGCGCAU
rnacentral:rRNA from 1 species